rnacentral:rRNA from 1 species
CCUACGGGAGGCAGCAGUGGGGAAUAUUGGACAAUGGGGGCAACCCUGAUCCAGCCAUGCCGCGUGUGCGAAGAAGGCCCUCGGGUUGUAAAGCACUUUCAGUGAGGAAGAACGCCUGGUGGUUAAUACCCAUCAGGAAAGACAUCACUCACAGAAGAAGCACCGGCUAACUCCGUGCCAGCAGCCGCGGUAAUACGGAGGGUGCGAGCGUUAAUCGGAAUUACUGGGCGUAAAGCGCGCGUAGGUGGCUUGAUAAGCCGGUUGUGAAAGCCCCGGGCUCAACCUGGGAACGGCAUCCGGAACUGUCAAGCUAGAGUGCAGGAGAGGAAGGUAGAAUUCCCGGUGUAGCGGUGAAAUGCGUAGAGAUCGGGAGGAAUACCAGUGGCGAAGGCGGCCUUCUGGACUGACACUGACACUGAGGUGCGAAAGCGUGGGUAGCAAACAGGAUUAGAUACCCUGGUAGUC